UCCUUAUUUUUUGUAUUCCUCCGUUGUCAAUUCUAUCAAACAGAAACCCUAACCAGCAACAACGACAACAAGAACAGCAGCAGCAAUACGGCAAUAAGAACCCUAACCCUCGUUUAUAUUCCUCCAAUAAGACGACAAGCAGCAGCAAAGAAUAGUAAAUACUACCAUGGAUCCAAGCAACCCGAACAACCCGCCACAAACCCCGUGGACGGCACCUGUUGAUCCGAUGUGGGCGACUCCACAAUUUUCUUUUUCAAGCUAUAAUCAAGUUCCUAACGCGUUCACGCAACUCCCUCAAACCCCGCAUCCUACUAGUUUCUUUCAACUUCAACAAAUCCAGUUUCAACAACAAUAUCAACAACAACUUAAAACGCUCCAACAAAGCCAAAGUCGGCCUAUUCAUACGAAAGUCCAAUCGCAACCGACACCCGAUACCCCUUCGUUAGACGAUUUGGAUGACAUUGACGUUGUAUCCGAAACCCAACCUCAAAGUUCUAAGAAAACAUCUAAAAAAAGCGUUCAAAGAGGGCGGAACAAGAUAACUUAACCACCGGUAGAGGUCAAACUUGGACAUCAAUCGACGAGAUGGCGUUGGCAAGGGCGUGGACCAAUACGUCUACAUGUCCGAUCGUAGGUAAUAAUCAAAAGUCUGAUAGUUUUUGGAAUGAGGUUUGCAACAAAUUUCAUGCUUUGAUG